rfam:Catabacter hongkongensis strain HKT16 2806ref_2ab_c56, whole genome shotgun sequence.
GAAUGAGGGAACUCAGCAUCUUUAACAGGAUGUUACCAUAUACUGAAUUCAUAGGUAUAUGGGGGGAACCCGGUGAACUGAAACAUCUAAGUAGCCGGAGGAAAGGAAAACAAAAGUGAUUCUCCUAGUAGCGGCGAGCGAACGGGGAAGAGGCCAAACCGGAAGUCUUCGGACAUCCGGGGUUGUGGACCCAUAUAAUCGAUCUGACGAAUAUAGUUGAAUAGCAUUGGAAAGUGCAGCCAAAGAGGGUAAAAGCCCCGUAAACGAAAUACGAGUUAGCGAGAUGGGCACCAGAGUACCACGGGACACGUGAAACCCCGUGGGAAGCCGGGAGGACCACCUUCCAAGCCUAAAUAUUCCUUGAUGACCGAUAGAGAAAUAGUACCGUGAGGGAAAGGUGAAAAGCACCCCGGGAGGGGAGUGAAAGAGAACCUGAAACCUUGUGCUUACAAGCAGUGGGGGCACUAUUAGAAAGUGUGACCACGUACUUUUUGUAGAACGGGCCAGCGAGUUACGGUAUGCAGCGAGGUUAAGUGACUGGAGUCACGGAGCCGAAGGGAGACCGAGUCUUAAUAGGGCGUUAAGUUGCAUGCUGUAGACCCGAAACCGGGCGACCUACCCAUGAGCAGGUUGAAGCGGUGGUAAAACACCGUGGAGGACCGAACCACACGUAUGUUGAAAAAUGCGGGGAUGACUUGUGGGUAGCGGAGAAAUUCCAAUCGAGCUCGGAGAUAGCUGGUUCUCCUCGAAAUAGCUUUAGGGCUAGCCUCGAGUGAAGAUAUAUGGGGGUAGAGCACUGAAUGGGCUAAGGGGCUUCACGGCUUACUGAACCUUAUCAAACUCCGAAUACCAUAUAUUACCUACUCGGGAGUCAGACAGCGUGAGAUAAGUUUCGUUGUCGAAAGGGAAACAGCCCAGAUCAUCAACUAAGGUCCCAAAGUGUAAGUUAAGUGGAAAAGGAUGUGGAAUUGCAGAGACAACUAGGAUGUUGGCUCAGAAGCAGCCACUCAUUUAAAGAGUGCGUAACAGCUCACUAGUCGAGUGAUUGUGCGCCGAAAAUGUCCGGGGCUAAAACUUACCACCGAAGUUAUGGGUGCGCAGUAAUGCGCGCGGUAGAGGAGCAUCGUAUACGGGCAGAAGCUGUACCGAGAGGAGCAGUGGACUGUAUACGAGAGAGAAUGCUGGCAUAAGUAGCGAGAGUGAGGUGAGAAUCCUCACCGUCGAAAGCCUAAGGUUUCCUGGGGAAGGCUCGUCCGCCCAGGGUAAGUCGGGACCUAAGCCGAGGACAGUAUAGUCGUAGGCGAUGGACAACAGGUUGAUAUUCCUGUACUACCGACUGGUCGUUUGACUGACGCAGUGACACAGGAGGAUAGCAGAAGCGGGCUGAUGGUAGAGCCCGUCUAAGCACUGAGGUUUGCAAGGUAGUGAAGUACGCCUUGCUUUAAGACUGAGGUGUGAUGGGGACAGAAAAUAAGUAUGGAAGUCUGUGAAUCCACACUGGCGAGAAAAGCUGCUAGGAAGACCAGUAGGUACCCGUACCGCAAACCGACACAGGUAGGCGAGGAGAGAAUCCUAAGACGAUCGGGAGAAGCAUUGUUAAGGAACUCGGCAAAAUGACUCCGUAACUUCGGGAUAAGGAGUGCCUAGUAAAAUAG